UCAUUUUACCAUAUGGAAAGGUGGGA
rnacentral:piRNA from 2 species